rnacentral:misc_RNA from 1 species
GAUGAAGAACGCAGCGAAAUGCGAUAAGUAGUGUGAAUUGCAGAAUUCAGUGAAUCAUCGAAUCUUUGAACGCACAUUGCGCCCCUUGGUAUUCCAUGGGGCAUGCCUGUUCGAGCGUCAUUUGUACCUUCAAGCUCUGCUUGGUGUUGGGUGUUUGUCUCGCCUCUGCGUGUAGACUCGCCUCAAAACAAUUGGCAGCCGGCGUAUUGAUUUCGGAGCGCAGUACAUCUCGCGCUUUGCACUCAUAACGACGACGUCCAAAAGUACAUUUUUACACUCUUGACCUCGGAUCAGGUAGGGAUACCCGCUGAACUUAAGCAUAUCAAUAAGGGAGGA